CCCGUCUCCCCAUUCCCCGUUCCGGGUUUUAAAGAUAGCCGGUUUCAGUCUAUUUCACGUUUUUCGACAGAAAAGACGAUCUUUUUGCCUGUAUUCAAUCUACAAACACUAAAAACAAGUUUACUAGUCGUAUUUUACUCGUAUUCUACUCGUAUGUACUUGUGUUUUACUCGUAUGUACUCGUGUGUUACUCGUAUGUACUCGCAUGUUACUCGUAUGUACUCGCAUGUUACUCGUAUGUACUCGUAUGAACUCGUGUGGUGUUUUAGUCACGAUCUUUUUUGUGUAACGAAAUCUAUAACACUUGUCAAUCAUAUUGCAUGCUGUGUCUAAAAAUAACAUGUGAGCGCAUCCCACGGUCUAGACAGGUUUUGUGUCAGGCCCUAUUUAAAACCCUUGAAACCAUUGAAACCCUUGAAACCAUUGAAACCCUUGAAACCCUUGAAACCCUUGAAAUCAUUGAAACCC